AAAAAGAUAAGCUAAUAAAGCUUUUAGGCCCAUAACCUAAAGAUAGAAACUAAUUCUUCUUUUUA
rnacentral:tRNA from 1 species